UUAGUAGCGGCGAGCGAACAGGGAAGAGCCCAGCACCGAAUCCCGCGGCCGCUUACAUGGUCGCAGGGAAAUGUGGUGUUUGGGAGGGUCCGCCAGCCCGAGACUGUGCGACGCGUCCAAGUCCUUCUUGAACGGGGCCACUUACCCAUAGAGGGUGCCAGGCCCGUAGUGACCGUCGCCGGUAGCGGGAGGAUCUCUCCUUAGAGUCGGGUUGCUUGAGAGUGCAGCCCUAAGUGGGUGGUAAACUCCAUCUAAGGCUAAAUAUGACCACGAGACCGAUAGCGAACAAGUACCGUGAGGGAAAGUUGAAAAGAACUUUGAAGAGAGAGUUCAAUAGUACGUGAAACCGUUCAGGGGUAAACCUGAGAAACCCGAAAGGUCGAAUGGGGAGAUUCAGCGCGUCUCGUUGUGCGGGCGAGCCGUUUGGGCAGCGACGGUGGACGUUUCGGCGUCCGCCGCCUCCCACGGCGGCCGUCUCGUCGCGAACGCGUGCACUUCUCCCCUAGUAGGACGUCGCGACCCGUUGGGCGCCGGCCUGAGGCCACCGGUGGAGCCCGUGUGGGGCACGGUUCGCCGUGCUCCUCCGGACCCGGUGUGUACCCGGCCGGCACGCUCGACGGUAUGACACGAUGGCGCGGGGCCGCGACUUGUUCGCGUCCGGCCCGUCGCAAGCGCGGACGGCAACCUGGCGGUCGGACCUAGUGCCGACUCUGGGCCCGCCCGGCUGCUGGCGACGGUGUCCUCGGACAGACUCCGAUUCACGCCGGUCGGCGACGCUAUAGCUUUGGGUACUUUCAGGACCCGUCUUGAAACACGGACCAAGGAGUCUAGCAUGUGCGCGAGUCAUUGGGACUAUUGCGAAACCUAAAGGCGAAAUGAAAGUGAAGGCACGCGCUCGUUCGCGUGCCGUGGGAGCAGGGGUCGGGCCUUUGCGCCCGGCCACGCACUCCCGGGGCGUCUCGUUCUCAUCGCGAGAAGAGGCGCACCCAGAGCGUACACGCUGGGACCCGAAAGAUGGUGAACUAUGCCUGGUCAGGAC
rnacentral:rRNA from 1 species